GUGCUGGCUUUGGCAGCACAUAUUACUAAAAUUGGAACGAUACAGAGAUGAGCAUGGCCCCAGUGCAAGGAUGACAUGCAAAUUCAUGAAGCGUUCCAUAUUUAA